UCAGGUAGUAGUGGUGUAAGUACCUACUAGCCAGCGACGGGUACGGGUUGNNGAGCAAGAGCCCGGAGAUGGAUUCUGAGACAUGAAUCCAGGCCCUACGGGGCGCAGCAGGCGCGAAAACUUUACAAUGCGGGAAACCGUGAUAAGGGGACACCGAGUGCCAGCAUCAUAUGCUGGCUGUCCGGAUGUGUAAAAUACAUCCGUUAGCAAGGGCCGGGCAAGACCGGUGCCAGCCGCCGCGGUAACACCGGCGGCCCGAGUGGUGAUCGUGAUUAUUGGGUCUAAAGGGUCCGUAGCCGGUUUGGUCAGUCCUCCGGGAAAUCUGAUAGCUCAACUAUUAGGCUUUCGGGGGAUACUGCCAGACUUGGAACCGGGAGAGGUAAGAGGUACUACAGGGGUAGGAGUGAAAUCUUGUAAUCCCUGUGGGACCACCUGUGGCGAAGGCGUCUUACCAGAACGGGUUCGACGGUGAGGGACGAAAGCUGGGGGCACGAACCGGAUUAGAUACCCGGGUAGUCCCAGCCGUAAACGAUGCUCGCUAGGUGUCAGGCAUGGCGCGACCGUGUCUGGUGCCGCAGGGAAGCCGUGAAGCGAGCCACCUGGGAAGUACGGCCGCAAGGCUGAAACUUAAAGGAAUUGGCGGGGGAGCACAACAACGGGUGGAGCCUGCGGUUUAAUUGGACUCAACGCCGGACAACUCACCGGGGGCGACAGCAAUAUGUAGGCCAAGCUGAAGACUUUGCCUGAAUCGCUGAGAGGAGGUGCAUGGCCGUCGCCAGUUCGUACUGUGAAGCAUCCUGUUAAGUCAGGCAACGAGCGAGACCCGUGCCCACUGUUACCAGCAUGUCCUCCGGGACGAUGGGUACUCUGUGGGGACCGCCGAUGUUAAAUCGGAGGAAGGUGCGGGCCACGGUAGGUCAGUAUGCCCCGAAUCUCCCGGGCUACACGCGGGCUACAAUGGAUGGGACAAUGGGUCCCUCCCCUGAAAAGGGCUGGUAAUCUCACAAACCCAUUCGUAGUUCGGAUCGAGGGCUGUAACUCGCCCUCGUGAAGCUGGAAUCCGUAGUAAUCGCGUUC
rnacentral:rRNA from 1 species